rnacentral:rRNA from 1 species
UACGAAGGGGGCUAGCGUUGCUCGGAAUCACUGGGCGUAAAGGGUGCGUAGGCGGGUCUUUAAGUCAGGGGUGAAAUCCUGGAGCUCAACUCCAGAAUUGCCUUCGAUACUGGAUAUCUUGAGUUCGGGAGAGGUGAGUGGAAUGCCGAGUGUAGAGGUGAAAUUCGUAGAUAUUCGGCGGAACACCAGUGGCGAAGGCGACUCACUGGCCCGAUACUGACGCUGAGGCGCGAAAGCGUGGGGAGCAAACAGG